rnacentral:rRNA from 1 species
UCCGUAGGUGGAUAAUUAAGUCAGAGGUGAAAGUUUGCAGCUCAACUGUACAAUUGCCUUUGAUACUGGUUAUCUUGAAUCAUUAUGAAGUAGUUAGAAUAUGUAGUGUAGCGGUGAAAUGCAUAGAUAUUACAUAGAAUACCAAUUGCGAAGGCAGAUUACUAAUAAUGUAUUGACACUGAUGGACGAAAGCGUAGGUAGCGAACAGGAUUAGAUACCCUGGUAGUCC